AACGCAUUAGGGUUUGUCGCUGCUUUUUUUAAGCAGAGGAAAGUCCGGACAUCACAGAGCACCAUGCUUCCUAACAGGAAGGUACUGCGAGGAGGACGCAGUAACAGCAAGUGCCACAGAAAAUAACCGUCCCGACAUGUCGGGGUAAGGGUGAAAAUGUGAGGUAAGAGCUCACAACACAGCCAAGUGAUUGGUUGUGUGGGUAAACCUCAUGGGAUGAAAGACCAAAUAAACCGAGGCUUGAGGGCUGCUCGUCCAAUCUCGGAGGGUAGGUUGAUGGAGGCAAAUGGCGACAUUUGUCCUAGAGAAAUGACAAACAUUCCGAUUCUUCGGAAUACAGAAUCCGGCUUAUACUUUUGCGUUACAA
rnacentral:RNase_P_RNA from 1 species